rnacentral:tRNA from 1 species
CUCACGGUAGCUCAGUGGUAGAGCACACGACUGUAGAGGAAUUGCGGGCAUUGUGGGGUCGGCGGUUCGACUCCGCCUCGUGAGA